rnacentral:lncRNA from 1 species
CUCCCCCUCUCUCUGCCCCUCCGCCGCUUGUGCGUUCACUCUCUCUCUCUCAAAAAUAAAUAAAUACACAUUUUUUUUUAAAUGGAGGCUGAGGGAGGGAGGUUUGACUACAGAAGAGGAGAAGGCGGGGAGAGGAGAGAGAGAGUGACAGAAACAGACUGGAGGGACACACUUAGCAGACCUAAGGAAGGGGCCACAAGCCACGGAAUGCAGGUGAUCACGGGAAGCUGCGAGAGGCAAGGACACAUCAUCUCCCGGAAGCUUCCAGCAGGAACCGGCCCUGCCAGCACCUUGGCUUUAACCCAUCAAGACGGAUUUCAGACUUCUGACCUCCAGAACUGUAAGAGAAUACAUGUGUGUGGUUUUAAGCCGCGAAGCUUGUCAUAAUUUGUUACGGUGGCCAGAGGAAAUGAAUGUGGGUGCUGUGUGGGGGACAGCCCCGGGAGGGUGAGGCCGGAGCAGGGGGCCCGGCUUGGAGGCUACUGCAAUGGUCCAGGCAGGAAAUGAGCAGGGACCCAAGGAAGGGGCGGGAUCCGAGGGAGACUUCAGGAGCCAGAACGGGCAGCUUUGCUGACGGACUGGACACUUAGCGGGCAGGAAGGAGAGAGUCAGGGUCUCUGGCUCCCUCAGUCAUCCCCUGGCCGGGGCCCGGGACGGAGAGCUGGCCCCGCGUGGCUCCUGCUCUAAGGGAGGAUUCAGCUGCACGAGGCCCAGGAAUAGUUACAAGGUGAUGGGAGGGACCGGGCUCGGCUGCCCCAGGACCUUUCGUCUUACACCCUUCAGGCCUCUGCCCCGCUGUCCCGGCUUCAGAGAGGCCUCCCUGACCACCCUGUCUCAGAGAGCCCCUCCUGCUCUCUCUCCCUCCCCCUGCUUUAGUUUGCUCUGUGUAUCUUCCUGUCACUCUGUGUGCUACCUGUCUGUUUCUUUGCCGGCUGGCUUCCGUGCUCCGUGGUCGGCCCAUGAGAAGGACUCCAUCCAACUUCUCCAGCACCGACACGAGUGUGUGCAGUGAAUGAACGAAUCUCCAUUUUCCAAGAGGGACACUAAGGAAAGCUAUAGCAAAGGAAGCGACACUCUCAGGGUCACGCGGUUGCUAAGUGUGGGGUCAGGAUCUGAACCAGGACGCAAAUUCCAAAGUUUGCGUAAGUAGCCUACCUCCCAACCCCAGUGAGGCUGCCUGCAGUCCGGGAAUUUCC